UUUCUUAAUGAUGCAUUCAAUAUUUAAUGUAGUAGUUUUGUAUAUCUGUAAUUGUGAAUGGUUCGAAUGCGCUAAGUAUUCUAUGGAAAAUGUCCAGAUAUGUUAUCCUAUAUUCAUAUAUGUUAAUACUUUUAAAGUUUCUUUCCCCAAUCUUAGUUGUUUGAAUUUAUGUUAAUCUUUUAACUGAAAAUAAAUGUCCCGAUACUUAAAAUAUGUUUUGAGUUUACUUUUCUCCUGAUUGUAUGUUUCCUUUAGGAUAACUCUUAAAUUUAUAUUUGGUUUGUGUAUGUGAAAUGUUUGUCUUUUAGUAUCUGGCAUAUCCAUGGUUAUAGGAUUAAAUUUAUGUCAUUAUAUCUAGGCCCCCUUAAGGUCAUAAAUCUCUUUUCUGUGAAAUGUUCAGUAUUUGUGAGUCCAAAUAUCUCAAAAGGAAUGUGUCAUCACGUACUUAGCCUUCUUUUGGAGAAUAGGUCUUGAAAGAGAUCAUGCCCCCCUUCCCUCCAUAUUAGUGAGGCAUGAAUGUACUUCAUCAAGGAAGGCUUCAUCUUUGCCAAAAGCUUAGUUGAAAUAGAGUUAAUUCAGUUAACACACACUUGUAAUUUUAGUAUAUAUGUCCAAAUGAUGUGAUGAAGGUAAAUGUCAACUUAAUCAAUUGUUGGGUUUCUUGUUAUGGAUUGCAUCCUCUCUGUAUCAAUGUCACAUGAAGUACAAUUUUGGUUAUUAUUCUUGUUUGACAUAACAUUUUUGGUUGCUUCUUCUUAACAUUAUAUUCAAGUAUCUAAUCAUGUUGUGCUUAAUUUUGAUGGCAAUAUUGGUGUCCACAGUUUUAGAGUAAGUAAUGUUUCAUGGAAUUUUAUUAAGUAUUUGGUGCACUUUAUAUCUGUUAUCGCUGAUAGACCAGCCAUUUGUUUUCCCCCCAUUUUCACGCCUAUGUAUUUCAAUACAUAAGAUCAAGUAAAUUAUAAUAAAGAUGUGACACAACAAAUGUUUAGCGACAAGUUUGUGGGUUUAUUAUCAAUGCACACAAUAAAUGUGUACUUUUUUAUUACACAUUUUCUCUUGCUUUUUUCCUCUGAUCAUAUCCUGGAUUAGUCGAUCAUCAUUUCAAGCUAAUUACAUUGUUGUUUUCAGGUUUGGUGAGUGUUUGAUACAACUUUUAGAAAGAAUUGCAACACAGAUCAAGUGAUUACAUCUCUCUACGUCAACAUUUUAUACAGAUCUCCACAAGCCUGCUCUCGUAAUUGAGUGAUGCUUUGUAUUAGUGGACUGGUAUUUGUUGAACUUCAGAGUGGUUACUUCCCAUAUGAAUAGGGCACUCUUUACUGUUGUGCUCUAAUUUUUCCACAUGAUUCACGCUUCUUUUUCUGCCCUUUCUGGAUGUUUAUAACAAGGUGCAUUGAAUUAUUUUAGGUGUAGCAAGAGGAGUUGCUAAAUUGUGUUCUCACAUAAGAGGAUAGGCAACUAAAGAGAAUAAUUGAUCAUCAAAUAACAAAUAAUAUGUCACUAUCAUCCGUGUAUUAGAGGAUUGACAUCCUAAUGGAAUAAGGGAGGAGGGCUGGAUAUGGUUGUGUAUGUGAAAAGAUGUUAUGGAACGAUUUGUAAACUUGUUUAUAUGAGCCUUAUAAGACUAGGCAUUACAACAUAUGAAUGACAAUGUGUUACAAAAUUUACUUUUGAAUCUAGUAUGAAAAACUUCAAAUUAGAUUUUUA